rnacentral:rRNA from 1 species
UACGUAGGGGGCUAGCGUUGUCCGGAUUUAUUGGGCGUAAAGAGCGUGUAGGCGGCCAGAUAGGUCCGUUGUGAAAACUGGAGGCUUAACCUCCAGCUGUCGAUGGAAACCAUCUGGCUAGAGUCCGGAAGAGGAGAGUGGAAUUCCUGGUGUAGCGGUGAAAUGCGCAGAUAUCAGGAAGAACACCCGUGGCGAAGGCGGCUCUCUGGGACGGUACUGACGCUGAGACGCGAAAGCGUGGGGAGCGAACAGG